rnacentral:rRNA from 1 species
AGUGGCGGACGGGUGAGUAACGCGUGAGAAUCUGCCUUGGGGUCGGGGACAACCACUGGAAACGGUGGCUAAUACCGGAUACGCCUUCGGGUAAAAGAUUUAUUGCCCUAAGAGGAGCUCGCGUCUGAUUAGCUAGUUGGUGAGGUAAGAGCUCACCAAGGCAGCGAUCAGUAGCUGGUCUGGGAGGACGAUCAGCCACACUGGGACUGAGACACGGCCCAGACUCCUACGGGAGGCAGCAGUGGGGAAUUUUCCGCAAUGGGCGAAAGCCUGACGGAGCAAGACCGCGUGAGGGAGGAAGGCUCUUGGGUUGUAAACCUCUUUUCUCAGGGAAGAAGCUCUGACGGUACCUGAGGAAUCAGCCUCGGCUAACUCCGUGCCAGCAGCCGCGGUAAUACGGAGGAGGCAAGCGUUAUCCGGAAUUAUUGGGCGUAAAGCGUCCGCAGGUGGCGAUUCAAGUCUGCUGUCAAAGCACGGGGCUUAACUCCGUAAAGGCAGUGGAAACUGAAUAGCUAGAGUGCCGUAGGGGUAGAGGGAAUUCCCGGUGUAGCGGUGAAAUGCGUAGAGAUCGGGAAGAACAUCGGUGGCGAAAGCGCUCUACUGGACGGCAACUGACACUCAGGGACGAAAGCUAGGGGAGCGAAUGGGAUUAGAUACCCC